CCUACGGGAGGCAGCAGUGAGGAAUAUUGGUCAAUGGGCGAGAGCCUGAACCAGCCAAGUCGCGUGAAGGAAGACUGCCCUAUGGGUUGUAAACUUCUUUUGUCAGGGAGCAACUGCGUCUACGUGUGGUCUUAGCGAGAGUACCUGAAGAAAAAGCAUCGGCUAACUCCGUGCCAGCAGCCGCGGUAAUACGGAGGAUGCGAGCGUUAUCCGGAUUUAUUGGGUUUAAAGGGUGCGUAGGCGGACUAUCAAGUCAGCGGUAAAAAUUCGGGGCUCAACCCCGUCGUGCCGUUGAAACUGGUGGUCUUGAGUGGGCGAGAGGUAUGCGGAAUGCGUGGGGUAGCGGUGAAAUGCAUAGAUAUCACGCAGAACUCCGAUUGCGAAGGCAGCAUACCGGCGCCCAACUGACGCUGAAGCACGAAAGCGUGGGUAUCGAACAGGAUUAGAUACCCUGGUAGUC
rnacentral:rRNA from 1 species